UACGGAGGGUGCAAGCGUUGUUCGGAAUCAUUGGGCGUAAAGCGCGUGUAGGCGGUCUUCUAAGUCUGAUGUGAAAGCCCGGAGCUUAACUUCGGAACUGCAUUGGAUACUGGAAGACUAGAGGAUGGUAGAGGAUGGUGGAAUUCCUGGUGUAGGGGUGAAAUCCGUAGAGAUCAGGAGGAACAUCAGUGGCGAAGGCGGCCAUCUGGACCAUAUCUGACGCUGAGACGCGAAAGCGUGGGGAGCAAACAGG
rnacentral:rRNA from 2 species